AUUUUUCAAAAAUUCUUUUUUUUCCUUAAACAUCCUAGACCCCCAGUAAAACUCAACAAAGGAUGAUUGAUGCUGCUGAGUCGUGUACUAUGAGGUCAUACUGCUGUGCAACCAUCAUGAUAGGGACCAACACCUUAAUUCUCUGGAAGUAG